rnacentral:rRNA from 1 species
UAAAUUUAGAGUUUGAUCCUGGCUCAGGACGAACGCUGGCGGCGUGCUUAACACAUGCAAGUCGAGCGAUGAAGCUUCCUUCGGGAGGUGGAUUAGCGGCGGACGGGUGAGUAACACGUGGGUAACCUGCCUCAAAGUGGGGGAUAGCCUUCCGAAAGGAAGAUUAAUACCGCAUAAUAUAAGAGAAUCGCAUGAUUUUUUUAUCAAAGAUUUAUUGCUUUGAGAUGGACCCGCGGCGCAUUAGCUAGUUGGUAAGGUAACGGCUUACCAAGGCAACGAUGCGUAGCCGACCUGAGAGGGUGAUCGGCCACAUUGGAACUGAGACACGGUCCAGACUCCUACGGGAGGCAGCAGUGGGGAAUAUUGCGCAAUGGGGGAAACCCUGACGCAGCAACGCCGCGUGGGUGAUGAAGGUCUUCGGAUUGUAAAGCCCUGUUUUCUAGGACGAUAAUGACGGUACUAGAGGAGGAAGCCACGGCUAACUACGUGCCAGCAGCCGCGGUAAUACGUAGGUGGCGAGCGUUGUCCGGAUUUACUGGGCGUAAAGGGUGCGUAGGCGGAUGUUUAAGUGGGAUGUGAAAUCCCCGGGCUUAACCUGGGGGCUGCAUUCCAAACUGGAUAUCUAGAGUGCAGGAGAGGAAAGCGGAAUUCCUAGUGUAGCGGUGAAAUGCGUAGAGAUUAGGAAGAACACCAGUGGCGAAGGCGGCUUUCUGGACUGUAACUGACGCUGAGGCACGAAAGCGUGGGUAGCAAACAGGAUUAGAUACCCUGGUAGUCCACGCCGUAAACGAUGGAUACUAGGUGUAGGGGGUAUCAACUCCCCCUGUGCCGCAGUUAACACAAUAAGUAUCCCGCCUGGGGAGUACGGUCGCAAGAUUAAAACUCAAAGGAAUUGACGGGGGCCCGCACAAGCAGCGGAGCAUGUGGUUUAAUUCGAAGCAACGCGAAGAACCUUACCUGGACUUGACAUCCCUUGCAUAGCCUAGAGAUAGGUGAAGCCCUUCGGGGCAAGGAGACAGGUGGUGCAUGGUUGUCGUCAGCUCGUGUCGUGAGAUGUUAGGUUAAGUCCUGCAACGAGCGCAACCCUUGUUAUUAGUUGCUACCAUUAAGUUGAGCACUCUAAUGAGACUGCCUGGGUAACCAGGAGGAAGGUGGGGAUGACGUCAAAUCAUCAUGCCCCUUAUGUCCAGGGCUACACACGUGCUACAAUGGUAGGUACAAUAAGACGCAAGACCGUGAGGUGGAGCAAAACUUAUAAAACCUAUCUCAGUUCGGAUUGUAGGCUGCAACUCGCCUACAUGAAGCUGGAGUUGCUAGUAAUCGCGAAUCAGAAUGUCGCGGUGAAUACGUUCCCGGGCCUUGUACACACCGCCCGUCACACCAUGAGAGCUGGUAACACCCGAAGUCCGUGAGGUAACCGUAAGGAACCAGCGGCCGAAGGUGGGAUUAGUGAUUGGGGUGAAGUCGUAACAAGGUAGCCGUAGGAGAACCUGCGGCUGGAUCACCUCCUUU